AUUGAACGCUAGCGGGAUGCUUUACACAUGCAAGUCGAACGAGUGGCGGACGGGUGAGUAAUAUCUCGGAAGUGCCCAGUAGCGGGGGAUCACUACUGGAAACGGUAGCUAAUACCGCAUACUAUCGGAUAACCCAUAUGGGAUUCGAUAGUAGGUGAGGUAAUGGCGCACCUAGGCAACGAUCCCUAGCUGGUCUGAGAGGAUGAUCAGCAACACUGGGACUGAGACACGGCCCAGACUCCUACGGAGGCAGCAGUGGGGAAUAUUGCACAAUGGGCGCAAGCCUGAUGCAGCCAUGCCGCGUGUAUGAAGAAGGCCCUAGGGUUGUAAAGUACUUUCAGUCGGGAGGCGUUACCGACAGAAGAAGCACCGGCUAACUCCGUGCCAGCAGCCGCGGUAAUAC
rnacentral:rRNA from 1 species